GGGGUGGCUGGAAAUGUUUCAGCUAGAGAGUUAAGCAGACAGUCUUUUCCUCCACUGUCGUGGAAAGAAAAUCCCUGUCUAGGCAUGGGCCUGAGCACACAGCACUGAGAAGGGAAUGAAAAAUAUACACAUGGUGAUUAUCUUUAGACAGAAAGUAAUUAGAAGAAGUCGGGACUACCGACACAGACUCUGUGGUGGAUGUUAGAGAGACUGAGGAGCUCCAGCACUGCAUGAGAUCACCAACAGAAAGUGCCUUUCAGACAACAUCUCCAACUUGAACCUGCUCUGUGGUCCAUAUGUGCAUGGAAAGCCAACGCUCCCUUUAAGGCCAGUUCUGAGCUGUGACAGGGGAUACCUCAGCUGCAAAUCUUCAGUAGCCUCCAAUUCAUUUCUGAACAACUCCAGUGACUAAGAAAUCCAAGAGGAAAGCAUUAUUGUGGAGAGGAGAACUGUCAAAGCACAAAGAGCUGACAAAUUAGAAGUUGGCAAAGUCAAUACCAAGCACAUCUUCGUUAAUAUUCUAUCAACGAGCUCCAUUGCCUUGAAAUACUAUUGUUGAGAGUGUUCUUGUCAGUGGAGGAGGAGAGACACUUGGGGGUGUCACAGAGCAAGCCCCUCAACCUUUUCAGAGGUCUGCCAUAGGUGCAAUCUGAUUGAUGAGUGAUUGAUCAUUAAUCGAUUAGCCUUCCUCCCAGCUUAUGAUGCGAGGGCCUGUCUAGUUGCUACAUAUGAUUUGAGAACUUUUCAAACACAAAUAAAACAGAGCCAAAAGUUGUGAACUUUUUUACGUGAGGCCAUUUUUGAGUUAGAGUCAACCGAUAUAUUGAACUUGCAGCGUUCAAUUGGAACCUCUUAACAUGGCUCUGAAUAUAUCUUCGAUAAGAGACACAAAAUGGCUGACAUUGGAAGUUUGUCGGCAGUUUCAGAGAGGAACUUGCUCAAGGAGUGAUGAGGAAUGCAAAUUUGCACACCCACCAAAGAGCUGCCAGGUUGAAAACGGAAGAGUUAUUGCCUGCUUUGACUCGCUAAAGGGUCGAUGUUCAAGAGAAAACUGUAAGUACCUUCAUCCACCUUCGCAUUUAAAAACCCAGCUAGAGAUUAACGGACGCAACAACCUCAUCCAGCAGAAGACGGCAGCAGCCAUGCUUGCCCAGCAGAUGCACUUCAUGAUCCCAGGCACGAGCAUGCAGCCUGUAGUAAGUUACUCAUAUUCAGUACCUACGUUCAAUAUGAACCAGGGGCUUGGUACAAGCCCUGGUCUCAGCUACUCUCCAUAUCUUACACCCAUGACCUCUAUGAGCCAUGGGAUGAGCCUGAUGCCCACCGAGAUGCUCCCCAGUACCCCAGUGAUGGUCCCUGGAAGCCCCGGUGUCACAGUCCAGAGCUCCAACUCGUCCUCCUCUUCCCCCUCACAGAAGCUGCUGCGCACCGACAAACUGGAGGUGUGUCGCGAGUUCCAGCGGGGGAACUGUGCGCGAGGCGAGACUGACUGCCGCUUCGCCCACCCCAGCGACAGCCCCAUGAUCGACACCAGCGACAACACGGUCACCGUCUGCAUGGACUACAUCAAGUCGCGCUGCUCCAGGGAGAAGUGCAAGUACUUCCACCCCCCUGCACACUUACAGGCCAAAAUCAAAGCCUCUCAACACCAAGUCAACCAAUCGGCCGUGGCAGCCCAGGCAGCAGCUGCAGCCAUGACUCAGUCGACUGCCAAAGCAAUGAAGCGACCCCUCGAGGCAACUGUAGACCUGGCGUUCCCCCAUGGUUGCCUGCAGCCCCUACCAAAGAGACAAGCACUGGAGAAGAGCAACGGGGCCAGUUCCUUCUUCAACCCCAGUAUGUUGCACUACCAGCAGGCUCUGGCCAAUGCACAGCUCCAGCAGACGUCUGCGUUCUAUCCCCCAGGCAGAUAUAUCAGUGCUUCCAGAUUACAUCAUCCAGGUUAGUUGAAGGAGACCUGCUUUAAUCAAAUCUAUUCCAUUCAGGCCAUUGGCCUACAUUGCUGUGAUGCAGUACAUGGCUAAGUAGGACACUGGAUUAUUAUACCAUUAGCUCUUUCUCUCAACAUGGCCUUCCUCUGACAGCCAUAAUCAAACAGCCACUAUGCACUCUUGUUAGAUGCUUUGUCUCACUGCUGAGUUAACUACUGUACUGCCUGGUUGCCCUAGCACUGAUGCCCAUGUCAGUCGAUUAGAGCUAUUUUAUUCAGCAUGUGCCUCCCUCCUUGGAAAACAGUAAUCUAUCCACACUCUACACGUACACCCACACACUACACUCCCUAAGACGCAUUGUUUCUCAUGGGCUUGUUUCUGUGUGUGCUCACCAAGCAAAAAAAAUUUAAAAACUUGGUUUCCAUUGAGAGGUUCAUGUCUUGCUUGUAUUUGGUUUAGAAUGUGUAAAAGCAUGCUGAAAACUCUAGCUAACCUGUUUUUCCUCCCUUAUUGUCCUCUACUCACUUUCCACUGCAUAAUCACACAGGGUCAGUGUUUUGCAUGUCUCCUGCUACCGGCAUUGUACCCAUGAUGUACAGUGCUACGCCUGCUACUGUCUCUGCAGCAACUACUCCUGCCACAAGU